UAAUAUAUAGUUAUAUCCUCUAUGUCUUUAGAUUCAUGCCUCUCUAAAAUCUUCUUCCCUUCCCUCUUUCCAUUUCACGAAUACCAAUCCGUCAUCAGUUCUUGGUCACGAAACAACCGGACUAUUAAAACCUUGUGAAGCUUUCAUGUUUAUGAACAACAGGCUCAUCAACUGUUUGAUAAUUUGCCCCAACUAGAUGUUGAUGUUGGGGAUACACAAGGAGACAACCAUUGAUUCAUGCAUGCCUCAGCUUUCGUUUGUUUGUUUGGCUGAGAUGUACAACGAAGUAAGGAAUUUUGUGAAUCAAGUAGUUUAUUAAUCUCCUAGAAAAGAACCCUUGGAAAUGGUUUUAUAACCAUUGGAAAUGGUGUUAUUAUUAAUUUUUUAGAGAUUAUGUAGGACAUUCUCUCAUUUCUUCUUACGAAACAAGGCUGAUAAAAUUGCAUACAAGUAUUUUUAUAGUCUUAGACAAUGUACAUUGGUUUAGAUUGAUGGAGGUAUGCCUCACAUGGAACAGUGGUACACCUUUAUCUCUAUUUAUCAAAUUCUUAUCUUUGCACAUUUUGAAUUUACAGUUUAUGUACUAAUGAAUUUGCUACUUUUUUUAUAUGUACAAAUGACUUCAUUAGAUGAGCAUGACAACGAUGGAUGAAUAUGGGACUUGUGCUCAAAAUUCAAGAGAUAGCAAUAUCCAUAAACCUUACCCAUCAAAUGGGAUGGUCUAUAUGAUGUCGAACUGCUAGACAUUACAGAAUUCUAAACUUGUGAUUAAGGAACACAAUUUGUAUCAUAUUUAGAGAAUUUGUAUAAUUUUGUAUUUCAUUUGAAUAAUAUGUACAAUUUUGUUGGUUUAUAUAAAGUUGAAUUAUAUAA